rnacentral:rRNA from 1 species
AUGCCUCUGCGCAAAGACCUUGGGGCUCUCCUUGUACGUGUGUGUGUGUUUCCUGAGAGUUUCUUCCAUGGGUGUGUGUUCGAGAGAAACCACGAGAGGAAGAGUAGUCAGAGGAAGAAGAAGAAGCGGCGCUGCGAGGAGGCGGCGCCAACAUUUGGCAUCAGAGCCUUGUCGAUCCGUGAGGAGACGGUGGCGGUGACGACGACGCGGCGGACUCCAUGUGACGUGGAGGACGUCCGCGCGAGAUGGAGGCCAUUGGCGGCGCGAUGCCGCUGGUGGCCGGUUGCGGUGCGAUGCCGCAAGAUGAUGAUGGUGUGGUGA